UUUGUUAAAUGAAAUACUUUAUUUCAUCCGUUUCAUUAGUUUGUGCUGACAGGAGGUCAAGAUGAAUAAAUUAUAUAUGUCAGACUACUUUACUAGUCAUUCACGCAGUCUCUAAGGUCAUACUGUUAAAGUUAGAUGGUUAGACACCUCACUAUCAACACAGUCUCCAAAUCAGUGAUUUCAUCAAUACAAUGAUGUUCAUGAUGGACCAGUACAUGUAUGUCUCCACGAGGAGAUGCUCAUUGUUGGUUGAACAAUGGAUGAAGCUACAAACAAUAGACAGAACUUCUCAGCAGGGAAAUACAAAUAGAAAUUAAAAUAGUUUCAUAUCAUGAACAUAUUCUUCUUGACUUGACAAAUACAGUCAACAUCCUUCUCAUUCAAGCCACUCACUGCUCCACACUACAGUGUUUACAUAAAUAUUGUCCAUUCUAUUUCUGUUAGAAUGUUAGGACACAUUCGAAAUAAAUACAUUAAAAUGUUCAUUGUUGGUUAGGAAUAAAUAUCACAUUCACAGCUCUCAGCCAAUGGACUGCAGCCAUUUGUCUAGUGGGAUGGAGCUAAAUGAAGAAGCAUUGAACAAAAAAAAAAAAGGUCAAAUAAUUAGCCAUGAAAAAAAAAAAAAGGUCAAAUAAUUAGCCAUGAAAAAAAAAAAAAGGUCAAAUAAUU